CGAGUGGGUAGAAGCGAUCAGCUCUUCGUUUCCGGGCGCCAUGCCGGGAUGCGAGCGGGAAAUUGCUCACUGU
rnacentral:ncRNA from 1 species